GACAGCUGUUGAAGAACCUACGAACUGCCAAAAUGUUUCCACAUUGCACAUUGCACUUUGAUGAUGAGUUAGUAACAGUGAAUUUGAGAGGAUGGCUCAAGCAUUUGCUGUGGGACCUUCUGCUGAUUCUCCUUUGCCUCUAACAUCAUUGGUAGUUCAGGGCAGGUGUAUAAGUUGAGGAGUCCUAGUGCAAAAUACUUGGCCUCCUUGUCAACUUAUGAUUCCUCAAACCCAACUAAAGAUUGGGGCUUCCCAGAAUUGUCAAUUGAUGGGAAAAUCCAAGCCCCACCCGGAUCGGGUGGAAACUGUGAAGUGAAGAUGAUAAAGGGUGCCCCUGUUCACAAGGAUUUGCCUUCAUUGCCAGGUCAACUCUGUGCAUCUAAUAAUGAUGUUUACAUGUACUUCCGUGGCAGUGGCAAAGCAGCAGAGAUGAAGCGUGAGGCUGGAAAACGGACAAUGAUGGCUGCGCUGCCAUGAUUCA